GGCGUACGUGAGCCAAGGGGUGAUUAACGCUGCCCCAUUUGUUGCUGUCGAGGUAGAGCGAAAAUGUCACCUGCAAAGCACACACCUCUGUUCUUUUGUGAAGGAGGCCUUUUUGCCAAUGAUGAGAGACAAUGGAAGGAAGGCAGGCUUGGAGAAGAAGCUCCAACAUAUGAUUGAGCUGCUGCCUGUGAUGGCCGCAUCAGAGUUUCAUGCAAAUGAAAGCAAAUGGGCCUCAACUCAAGGAAAAUAAGGAGGACUCUUACACCCAAGUAACGCUGGCCAAGGACUUCAUCUCCAAAGAAAGGAAGGCCAAAGCCAGAAUUGAACCCACAACAACUGCGCUGUGAGGCGGACGGACGGACGUGCUAACCGGUGUGCCGCUGUUGUUUGGAGCCUACUGAAAGACUUUGGGAUUUUAUCAAGCAUGACUGUACAACUCAUGGCUUAUUCCCAG